UGGGGAAUAUUGGACAAUGGGCGCAAGCCUGAUCCAGCAAUGCCGCGUGUGUGAAGAAGGCCUUCGGGUUGUAAAGCACUUUUAUCAGGAGCGAAACGCUGUCGGCUAAUACCCGGCGGAACUGACGGUACCUGAGGAAUAAGCACCGGCUAACUUCGUGCCAGCAGCCGCGGUAAUACGAAGGGUGCAAGCGUUAAUCGGAAUUACUGGGCGUAAAGCGUGCGUAGGCGGUUUCUUAAGUCUGCUGUGAAAUCCCCGGGCUCAACCUGGGAAUGGCAGUGGAUACUGGGAGGCUAGAGUGUGUCAGAGGGUGGUGGAAUUCCCGGUGUAGCGGUGAAAUGCGUAGAGAUCGGGAGGAACAUCAGUGGCGAAGGCGGCCACCUGGGACAACACUGACGCUGAGGCACGAAAGCGUGGGGGAGCAAACAGGAUUAGAUACCCUGGUAGUCCACGCCCUAAACGAUGCGAACUGGAUGUUGGUCUCAACUCGGAGAUCAGUGUCGAAGCUAACGCGUUAAGUUCGCCGCCUGGGGAGUACGGUCGCAAGACUGAAACUUAAAGGAAUUGAC
rnacentral:rRNA from 1 species